CUAUUUGUUAGGGUCUAUUUAAUCUCGAGUGAUCUCGAGCGUGCACGCAUUAAGCACAAGAAUACGGAUUCGUUCGUUUUACACUAGGCAAGCGAAAAGACAUUCCAUUCCUACGAAUGAAGACGUUUGCAGAAUUUGGUUGCUAAGAAUAAAUAAGGCCAAGUUAAAGCUUGCAGAUACAGUAUUAUCAUCACAUACAAUAUGUGAUAUUCAUUUUGAACCAAUUUGUAGAAACCCCAAUGGCAGGUUAAAAAAAGUUUCGCUGCCAACUCUACAUUCACCUAGUAAGUACUUAUAUUUACUGUGACAAUAAACCUACUUAUGAAUCCUAGUGAAAAAUUAUACUAUUUCCUCCAAUAGUUAAUGUCCCAAUUUAUAAACCAUUCUAUAGAAGCUCAAAAUAAAGAGGAUUAGAUCUUGUCAUUCCUUAUGUAGCAGGUUCAGUAGCAAAGAAAUUAUUUAAAAGUCUCAAAUGCCACUUGUGUAAAAAUAUAAUAUUGUCAAACGAAUUAAUUAAGGCAAAUUCAUUAAUAUAUUCUAGGGAACAUAAAAAAAAUGUUUUAUGUGCGCCUUCAGCAAAAUUCUGUGAUAUUUUUAAAAGUAUUUCUAAUAAAAUCUUCGAAAGAUUGCCCCAGUUAAUCAAUUCGUUAGGCAUCUAAGCCUGCUAAAGUGUGAAGGAAAUUUUUUUGUUUGUGGAUAUAGUUAUAAAAUGUCAAAAGCAAAAUAAAAAUUAUAAUAAUCA